UACGUAGGUGGCAAGCGUUUGUCCGGAUUUAUUGGGUUUAAAGGGUGCGUAGGCGGCCCUGUAAGUCAGUGGUGAAAUACUCUAGCUUAACUAGAGGGGUGCCAAUGAUACUGCAGGGCUUGAGUACAGAUGAGGUAGGCGGAAUUGACGGUGUAGCGGUGAAAUGCAUAGAUAUCGUCAAGAACACCCAUUGCGAAGGCAGCUCGCUACACUAUUAUUGACACUGAGGCACGAAAGCGUGGGGAUCAAACAGG
rnacentral:rRNA from 1 species